CCUCCCCUCGGCCGCUCAGCCGUCAGGCGGCGCCCUGGGCCGUCGGCCUUCCCGAUCUGUGUCUCGCGCCCUGGAAGCACUUGGCGCGGAAGGUGUAGGAACUUCGUUGGACUAGCAGCUGAGAGCCGACUGCUCCGUCCUCCCCGCUGGCGUGCGCCGCCGACACAGUUGCAUCUCUGCUGUUGGGGAACCAAGGCCCGCGGCCGCCCGGCCGGGAAGCGCGAGCACUAGUUCAGCCCAGGUGGGCCUCCAGGCCGCAGAGGCACAAAUCCGAAAGCCGGGAACUGGGGCGGGGGGGCGCUGCACAAAGCCCCGGCGGAGGGGAGGCUAGACAUCGCUGCGGCCCCCGAAGGCCUCCCAAGGAGCGCAGCCUCUGCCUGGGGGCGAUGGCGUCUUGGAGCUCGGUGAGCAGGAGUGGCAGCAGUGCUGAAGAAUUUCAUAGAAGAGGAGAGUGGAACUAGGAAAUGACCCCAACUGUCCCAGGGUCAGAAGCAAGGCCUCUGUGAGCCCGCCCCCACUCUGGGCUCAAGGAAGGGCAUCAGGAGCACAUGGGCACGAUGCCCAGUGCCAUCACCUGGCAGAAGGCCCAGCAUGGAUCAGACGUGGGCCUCCUCUCCCCAUCAUGCCCUCAACCCAGUGCAACUCACAGGCUUGAUAUCUUCCCGGUCCAGUUUACGGCGAUACAUGAUCAUGGCGUGGACAAUGUUUCCCAGGCGGGCUGCCUGCACCUCUGUGUUCUUGGUGAGCACAAAGUCCUACCGAGAGAGCAGAGCCAAUGGGGUGACUAUGACAGGUGUGUGCAGUGGCUCUUCUCUGUCCAGUGUCACCUGGGUCUCCCUGCCCCAGGACCUGAGCUGUCUUGUCCCCGUUCCCCAGUCCAUCCUGCACAUGCUGUCAGGGGGAACUGCCAGAAAUGAGAUGCAUAACCACAUAGCCCUUCUACUUCAGCUUGAACUGAGCCGCUUUUCCAUAGUCUGUUUUAUUUGUUCAUGAUUUGUUUAUUUUGCUUUGAGAAAGAGGUUCUUAUUACUAAAAAACAGCUUACAGCCUCUGGAAUGGACUAGUCACGUCUGAGUUUCUGAGAUGGCAGCUCUGUGGAGGAGAAUCCCAGCAUGCUACUCAGUGCUUUGGCCAGCGUGGGGGGACAGGCAUGCUGGAGCAGAAGGGCUGGUCACAAGGGGUAGGGCCCCAGUGACCUGAGCGCCAGGAGAGAGAGCUCUGGGUCUGCAGGGACACAGAGGAGGGCAUGCUCCAGGAGGUCCCUGGUAGUGGUGUCAGGACAGCCAGGAACCUGGAGCUGGGAGGCCACCAAGGGAACCAAAGAAGUGUCAGGGCCUGGGCUGGGCAGGGCAUGAGCCUGAGGGGCCCUGCAGUGCCAGGCUGCGGGCCUCCUGGAUUCUUCAGACCCUCAGCAUCCCUUGCCACCUCGAGGCUGCUUCCUGAAUAUUCUAGAAUCUACCCUAUCCUUCCUUUCCCUGAGGCCUCACUUUGGAACCCCUACUCGCCCAUGGAAAAUGCUGCCAGGGCUCUGGGCUGACCCCCAGGCCUGGAGCCCUGAGGCCUGGAGCCCUUUGUGGCCCCAGCUCUCACCAUGACAUAAUAGUUGCUGUUCACCAUGAGGGGAGUCCUGCCUCGGAGGUAGAUGUACUCUUCCCACCAGUCACUCACCUGUGGGUGGGUAGGAAGUAGAGCUGGGGCGGAGGCAGCCAGGACACCAGGUGGGUGAGGCUAAGCCCAAGAGGGGGAACUCACAUAAUUAGUCGCCCACCAUGACUUGAGUACCAGGUACUUCUGCAGCCUGGGCGCAGUCUUGUGCUGGAAUUCCUUGGCCAGCAUCUCCAUUCGGUAAUAUUCCUUGUCAUCCAACAAGGGCCGCACAGAUUCCAGGUACUGUCCAGCCAAGUUAUCAUCAGUGUGGGGACUGCCUCUGCCUGACCCUCUUCCAACCCCAUCCCCGUUGCCCUCAAGCCCACUCUUUGCAGGGGACAGUCCCUUAUGUUUGGACAAGUCCUCUGAAUCCAGCCUACCCUGCCCACUGGGAUGCCUGGCCAGGCCCUCACCCGCUGAACUGUGGCUGGCACGCUGGGCACAGGAAGCUUGGGCAGAGAUGUCUGGAAGCUGUAGAGCAUGGGCCGCCGACUGGACAGAAGGCGGACACAGAUCUGGGGAUA